GGAUUGUAGCUCAGUGAUAGAGCACUUGCCUAGCAUGCAUGAGGCACUGGGUUCGAUCCCAGGCACCA
rnacentral:tRNA from 1 species